rnacentral:rRNA from 1 species
CACGUAGGGCGCAAGCGUUGUCCGGAAUUAUUGGGCGUAAAGAGCUCGUAGGCGGUCUGUUGCGUCUGCUGUGAAAACCCGGGGCUUAACCCCUGGCUUGCAGUGGAUACGGACAGACUAGAGGUAGGUAGGGGAGAAUGGAAUUCCCGGUGUAGCGGUGAAAUGCGCAGAUAUCGGGAGGAGCACCGGUGGCGAAGGCGGUUCUCUGGGCCUUACCUGACGCUGAGGAGCGAAAGCGUGGGGAGCGAACAGG